rnacentral:misc_RNA from 1 species
CCGAGAUAGGGUCCUCCGGGGCCCGACCCUCCCAUCCCGUGUUUAUUGACCUUUGUUGCUUCGACGGUGGACCUCGAGCCUCGUGCCCGGGGGACCCGUCGCGAGCCCACCCAAACCCAACCGUAAUUUGUGUACGUCUGAGCGAAUUGAUACAAAUCAAGCACA